UACGUAGGCAGCAAGCGUUGUUCGGAGUUACUGGGCGUAAAGGGUGCGUAGGCGGCUUGGUAAGUGUGGUGUGAAAUCUCCCGGCUCAACUGGGAGGGUGCGCUAACAACUGCCGGGCUAGAGUGCGGGAGAGGAGAGUGGAAUUCCUGGUGUAGCGGUGAAAUGCGUAGAUAUCAGGAGGAACACCGGUGGCGUAAACGGCUCUCUGGACCGUAACUGACGCUGAGGCACGAAAGCGUGGGUAGCAAACAGG
rnacentral:rRNA from 1 species